rnacentral:tRNA from 1 species
GGCUAAGUAGUACAGUGGAUAGAACACCAGACCUGUAGUCAGGAAAAUCUAAGUUCAAAUCUAGCCUCAGUCA